UACGUAGGGGGCAAGCGUUGUCCGGAUUUAUUGGGCGUAAAGAGCGUGUAGGCGGCCAGGUAGGUCCUCUGUGAAAGUCCGAGGCUCAACCUCGGAAUGUCGGCGGAAACCCUCUGGCUAGAGUCCGGAAGAGGAGAGUGGAAUUCCCGGUGUAGCGGUGAAAUGCGCAGAUAUCGGGAAGAACACCAGUGGCGAAGGCGGCUCUCUGGAACGGGACUGAAGAUGAGACGAGAAAGCGUGGGGAGAGAACAGG
rnacentral:rRNA from 1 species